rnacentral:lncRNA from 1 species
UAUCACUCCCUCUCUUAAUUAUGAAUUCAUGAAAGAGAAUCUCAAUAAGAAAAUCAGGGAAAAAGGAUUCUAAUGGCCUUAAAUAACGAUCUUACAAAAAGACCUUAUUACCCCUGCUCUAAAAUCAAAAUUCCCUACCAUGUUUUCUUACGGGAAAAUUCCUAACCAUGUUAUCUUCUCCUAAUCUUACUUAAAUUUGAGAUAGCAUUCUUAAU